AUCACAUAAAUCAGAAACAAAUGAAACAUAAUAAAGUCCACACAUUAAAAAAAAAAAAAAAAAGCAUGGGUUCUGGUCACAUCCCAGCUUCCCACUUACUUACAGCUGUGUAAUUCUGGGCAACUCACAUACUGUCUCCUCAGACUCCUCAUCUAUAAAUGGGGAUGGUAAUAGUUCCCUACCUCAUAGUGUUGCUAUAAUCCAUAAACAAAGUUAAGUGCCUUGGUAAAUGUUUGAUGCUCUCUGGUUAUUGUGAAUUAAAAUAUGUCAAUGGCUUCUGGCAAUAUGAUUUAUAAUAGUUUGACAUUUAACCAAAUGGUAAAACUAUUCCAUUUAUUAUUUCCAUCUCUUUUUACCCCUUACCCUGUUUUGUUGUUUAUGUUUUCUCUCACCACAGAGUGUUAGUUCCAGGAGAGUAAAGGCUUUACAUUGUUCACUGCUGAAAGCAAUAGCACCCAGAAAAGUACAGUACAUAUGAAACCCUCAGUAAACACUAGCUGAAUGAAUGGUGCAAAGUGCCACAAGGAAAAAUACACCAAAACUUUCAUUAUAAUAAAAAAGUAUAGAUAAAUCUUUCUCUAAUGGCUUCCAGUCAAGUAUUUUAAAACACCAUAUGCUAUAAUAAAAACAUAAGUAAUUUAUUAAAAUUUGAAGGCAAAAGCAUAAUUUUAAAAGAUUUUAAAAGAUUUAGACCUAUGUUAGGCAUGAUGGAGUAUGGAUGCUUUCUUGAAAUUCACAGUCAGAUCCAAGAGUAUCACUUUCAGAAUGUUCUAGUAGACUGAGUUUACUUUUAGUUGUCUUUGAUGAAACAGUCACUAUUCUACUCUCUUUCUUAACAGAAAUGUGUUUUUUCUAAGACUCACUUCUAAUUGGUUCAUUAAGCAAAGACUUAUUUUGCCCAAUUCCUUUGCUUUUCUGCUUUACAGUUCCAGAAAUGACGUCUGCUGAAGGAGAACAUGUUCUAGCAAUGAAAUCUUCAAAAGACUCCUGCCGCUGCUCUGUGACUGGGACCCCCAGGUUGUCUUUGGAAGUUUCUAAGGCCUCCUGAGUAGAGACUGGGACAUGGAAGGAGUCAAGAGGCAAAGGAAUCCCAGCAUCACCUGUAAUUUUCUGAAACUGGAGGGAAAGACAAAAGACAAGGCAAAAAUUCAGUGAUGAACAAAGACAACCAUUAAAAAGUAGAGUUCAAAACUUCAA